GGCCAAUGAUGUCAGAUCUAUAUUUGCUACUCUUGAUGGGAUCUGAAGAUCCUAAUUGAUUAUGCUUUACCACCAAGAUCUGAGGCC